CUGUGUUUUAAUUAUUUCUGGUAAAACAAUGAUUUUUCAUGUAUACUGUACUAAGGAAAACUCCAAUGCCAGAACUUAGCUUUGAAAUUAGAAGUACAGUACAGUGGAACCUCGAAUACCGAGGCAAAAUAAUAUAACUGAAAAAUGUAUAAUUUGUUUUCCACAACUUUGAAAAUGAAGAUACUUAAUCUAAGAAAGACUUAGUGAUUCUAUCAAAUCAUUUCUAUUUAUCACCUUUUUAAAAUUUUCAGCUGACAAUUUUUGCUUGAAGUUUCACAUCAUAUAAUUAAAGCAAGUGUAUCAGAAGUACAAGAACCCA